AUUGAACGCUGGCGGCAUGCCUUACACAUGCAAGUCGAACGGUAACGGGCCUUCGGGUGCCGACGAGUGGCGAACGGGUGAGUAAUACAUCGGAACGUGCCCGAUCGUGGGGGAUAACGAGGCGAAAGCUUUGCUAAUACCGCAUACGAUCUACGGAUGAAAGCAGGGGACCGCAAGGCCUUGCGCGGACGGAGCGGCCGAUGGCAGAUUAGGUAGUUGGUGGGAUAAAAGAUUACCAAGCCGACGAUCUGUAGCUGGUCCGAGAGGAUGAUCAGCCACACUGGGACUGAGACACGGCCCAGACUCCUACGGGAGGCAGCAGUGGGGAAUUUUGGACAAUGGGCGCAAGCCUGAUCCAGCCAUGCCGCGUGCAGGAUGAAGGCCUUCGGGUUGUAAACUGCUUUUGUACGGAACGAAAAGCCUUCUUUUAAUACAGGAGGGUCAUGACGGUACCGUAAGAAUAAGCACCGGCUAACUACGUG
rnacentral:rRNA from 1 species